UGCUUACAUGGUUUUUAAUUUUUGUGAUAAUUUUGAAUUGCUAAUUAUUUCCAUACUUUAAAUUUUUCUUUUUACAGUCCAAUGAAAUAACUAUUAAUGAUACUUUCUGACAAGUAAAGCUUUCAAGCUACGGAAGCAUAAGGAGUCAAACCCACAGCUGCUGCUCCAUCAUCACUUUUGCAUACCUGCUGUUUCAGCUAUGUUAAAAAAAAAUGCUGAUAAAAGUUUCUUGCAUUCCAUCACAAGAUGGUCCCUGCAGCUGAUGGGCAAAGGUAUUUGGAACAGGGUGUCAAGGAUGCUGAAUUUUGAAGAAUGGAGGAUAAACGAGUAGCCGACUACUUUGUAGUUGCAGGUUUUCUGGACAAUGCUUUACCUCUCGAAGAGUUCUCUCGUGGUGGAAACAGUCUCAAAUCUACACAGUUUUUGCUGCCCAUCACUGAUGUGGCCAUUAUUAAACAUAGCCAGGGAGGAACAGUGUCGAAUGGUUAUACAUGCAUUGAAUGCACUCCUCUUGGUUUUCCUGCUGAUUUAAAGCAUGGAAGUCUAUGCAGUCCAAACAUCUUUUUCUGUUACUGCCGGGGUAGGUAUAAACCCCCUCUCGUUGAUAUGGGGGUACUUUACGAAGGAAAGGAGAAAGUCAUGGCUGACAGUGAAGUGGUCCUAAAUACACCUGGUGGUCAUUUAGCAAAUGUAAAUAACAGUGGUUCAAAAACUUUUUACAUAUUGGAAAGCACCUGAAAAUGGUCCCUGCAAUCAACUAGUUGUUACUAAUAUAUGUAUCAUAUUAGCAAAUAAGGUAAUUUAUCUUUGCUUCUUCUUAUUUUUAAAAUUGCUGCUGUGAGUAUGCAACAGUCCCAACAAGAACACGACUUUUGGGCUAGUUGAGGGACAAAGUCGACUCACCGCCGUAUCGGUUUUCAUCGCCGUAUCGGUUCCGUUAAUAAAGUGAAAUCUGGACCAAAAUGAGGGCCAGUGCAUGGCAGUUCAGGCAAACUUCUGGCAAUCAUUAAAGGACCGGAACUACUUUGUUGCCUCAAGAUUGCUUUGCCAUUUUUGCCGGUUAAAUACCGAAAUUUUUUUACCCCCCACAGAAUAAAGAGAACAUUGCCGUAAAGGCUUUUAUUGUACCUUUAUGAUGUCUUUUUGGCCUUUUUAUAAAAAGCUGAAUACGUUCACUGGCACACGUCGUUGCCUCGCUUGCCAUUAAUACACCUUAACUGUAGGCUGGUUAGAAAACGUCUAUGCCGUUUUCACCCGUAUCGCACCUUUAUUUCAGGUGCUUAGGCGAACUUCUUUGCCUUAUUUACCAAUAUACCACCCUGAACUCACCUCAAACUCGGUUCAAUAGAAAGUUUUAAUGGUGUCCUUGCCGGUAUCACACCUUUAUUUCAGAUGCUUAGGCGAACUUCUUUGCCUUAUAUGCUGAUAAACCACCCUUAACUCAUCUCACACUUGGUUCAAUAGAAAACUUUAAUACUGUCCUUGCCGGCAUCACACCUUUAUUUUAGGUGUGUCGUCAUUUUUUUUGUUAGUUACUUGCCUUUAUUAGAACUUAUCGUAGCUUUUAAUUUCAAAGGCUUUUUGCAGCAUGUUGUUAACAAUUCUUCUUUAGUGAACAUAAAUUGUCACAAGUGUUUGUCUUACACUGCUGAUAUCAGCGAUAGUAAUUUAUUGUGUUUUAGCUUUUUAUAUUGUAAUAAAACAACAACUGUUAUUACAUGCAUUCUUUUUUAUGCCAAUAUAGAAAACAAAAUGGUAUAAAACAAUUGUUUAAUUUAUAAUCAAACAUCAUCCAAUGAAUCUUCUUACAGUAGAGUAGAUUUUUUUUUAUUUCAUUUUGAUCAAUUAUAAAUGCAAUCACUUAAAGUAGAAGCAUAUAAAAAAAAUUUAGAAUUGAGUGUU